CUUCGGGGUGUGACUGCGUACCUUUUGUAUAAUGGGUCAGCGACUUAUAUUCUGUAGCAAGGUUAACCGAAUAGGGGAGCCGGAGGGAAACCGAGUCUUAAUUGGGCGUUAAGUUGCAGGGUAUAGACCCGAAACCCGGUGAUCUAGCCAUGGGCAGGUUGAAGGUUGGGUAACACUAACUGGAGGACCGAACCGACUAAUGUUGAAAAAUUAGCGGAUGACCUGUGGCUGGGGGUGAAAGGCCAAUCAAACCGGGAGAUAGCUGGUUCUCCCCGAAAGCUAUUUAGGUAGCGCCUCGUGAAUUCAUCUCCGGGGGUAGAGCACUGUUUCGGCUAGGGGGCCAUCCCGGCUUACCAACCCGAUGCAAACUGCGAAUACCGGAGAAUGUUAUCACGGGAGACACACGGCGGGUGCUAACGUCCGUCGUGAAGAGGGAAACAACCCAGACCGCCAGCUAAGGUCCCAAAGUCAUGGUUAAGUGGGAAACGAUGUGGGAAGGCCCAGACAGCCAGGAUGUUGGCUUAGAAGCAGCCAUCAUUUAAAGAAAGCGUAAUAGCUCACUGGUCGAGUCGGCCUGCGCGGAAGAUGUAACGGGGCUAAACCAUGCACCGAAGCUGCGGCAGCGAACGUAUCACCCAAGACAACUUUACGGAGUUGACGAUUGACGGAGCGAAGCGACGUCAAAGCGUUCAUUAAAGUCGAGUUGGCUUAGGGAUACGUUCGUUGGGUAGGGGAGCGUUCUGUAAGCCUGUGAAGGUGUGUCGUGAGGCAUGCUGGAGGUAUCAGAAGUGCGAAUGCUGACAUAAGUAACGAUAAAGCGGGUGAAAAGCCCGCUCGCCGGAAGACCAAGGGUUCCUGUCCAACGUUAAUCGGGGCAGGGUGAGUCGACCCCUAAGGCGAGGCCGAAAGGCGUAGUCGAUGGGAAACGGGUUAAUAUUCCCGUACUUGGUGUUACUGCGAAGGGGGGACGGAGAAGGCUAUGUUGGCCGGGCGACGGUUGUCCCGGUUUAAGCGUGUAGGUGUGUGUUCCAGGUAAAUCCGGUUCACUUUAACACUGAGGCGUGACGACGAGGCACUACGGUGCUGAAGCAACAAAUGCCCUGCUUCCAGGAAAAGCCUCUAAGCAUCAGGUAACAUCAAAUCGUACCCCAAACCGACACAGGUGGUCAGGUAGAGAAUACCAAGGCGCUUGAGAGAACUCGGGUGAAGGAACUAGGCAAAAUGGUGCCGUAACUUCGGGAGAAGGCACGCUGACACGUAGGUGAAGUGAUUUACUCAUGGAGCUGAAGUCAGUCGAAGAUACCAGCUGGCUGCAACUGUUUAUUAAAAACACAGCACUGUGCAAACACGAAAGUGGACGUAUACGGUGUGACGCCUGCCCGGUGCCGGAAGGUUAAUUGAUGGGGUCAGCGCAAGCGAAGCUCCUGAUCGAAGCCCCGGUAAACGGCGGCCGUAACUAUAACGGUCCUAAGGUAGCGAAAUUCCUUGUCGGGUAAGUUCCGACCUGCACGAAUGGCGUAAUGAUGGCCAGGCUGUCUCCACCCGAGACUCAGUGAAAUUGAACUCGCUGUGAAGAUGCAGUGUACCCGCGGCAAGACGGAAAGACCCCGUGAACCUUUACUAUAGCUUGACACUGAACAUUGAGCCUUGAUGUGUAG
rnacentral:rRNA from 1 species